rnacentral:rRNA from 1 species
GAUCAUGGCUCAGAACGAACGCUGGCGGCGUGGAUAAGACAUGCAAGUCGAACGCGAUUUUCUCGGUUAGCAAUAACUGAGGAAAUUGAGUGGCGAAUGGGUGCGUAACACGUGGGAAUUUAUCCGGAAGUGGGGGAUAGCUCGUCGAAAGGCGAAUUAAUACCGCAUAUGCCUGUAAGGGCAAAGUGGGGGACCGCAAGGCCUCACGCUAUCGGAGGAGCCCGCGCCCUAUCAGCUAGUUGGUGAGGUAAUGGCUCACCAAGGCUUAGACGGGUAGCUGGUCUGAGAGGACGACCAGCCACACUGGAACUGAGACACGGUCCAGACACCUACGGGUGGCAGCAGUCGAGGAUUUUUCUCAAUGGGGGCAACCCUGAAGGAGCGACGCCGCGUGGAGGAUGAAGGGCUUCGGCUCGUAAACUCCUGUCACCGACGAACAAGACAUCCGGAUUAAUAACUCGGAUGUUUGAUGGUAGUCGGAGAGGAAGGGGCGGCUAACUCUGUGCCAGCAGCCGCGGUGAUACAGAGGCCCCAAGCGUUGUUCGGAUUUACUGGGCGUAAAGGGUGUGUAGGGGGUUAGGUUAGUCUGACGUGAAAUACCGUUGCUCAACAACGGAACUGCGUCGGAUACUGCCUAGCUAGAGGUUCGGAGAUGAGGGCGGAAUUCUCGGUGUAGCGGUGAAAUGCGUAGAUAUCGAGAGGAACGCCGAUGGCGAAAGCAGCCCUCAAGACGAAAUCUGACCCUGAAACACGAAGGCCAGGGGAGCAAACGGGAUUAGAUACCCCGGUAGUCCUGGCAGUAAACGGUGCUCAUUAGAUGUAGGCGGAUUCGACCCCGCCUGUGUCGAACCUAACGGAUUAAAUGAGCCGCCUGGGAAGUACGGUCGCAAGAUUAAAACCCAAAGAAAUUGACGGG